rnacentral:misc_RNA from 1 species
GACUUACUUCUACUGUCGUAGAAAUUUUGAAAGGCCAACUCACUAGUUGGAAAAGUAAAGUAAAUGCUAAUAGGGAUAUCGAGUUCUUACUUGCUUAAGGAUCAGAACCAAUCUCAAUAUAUAUUUGGUUCUAGAAAUGUGAAUCCCAUUCUUAACACAUCUUCUACUGGUUUGCUUGAGGAUCAGUCCCAAUCUUAAUAUAUAUUUUGUUCUAGAAAUGUGAAUCCCAAUCUUAACACAUCUU